CCCCUCUCAGGAUCGCGUCUGGAGAGUUUCCAGUACUCUACCAGUCCAAACUAGGAGAGGGAGAGUCACGCAGAGGCCUAUCCAUUCCAUUCCUAGCUUUGGCAGUGGCUAACGAGUGGAAGGCCAUCUGCUACAAGC